AGGAUUAGAUACCCGGGUAGUCCCAGCUGUAAACGAUGCAGGCUAGGUGUUUGGACGGCCACGUGCCGUUCUAGUGCCGCAGGGAAGCUGUUAAGCCUGCCGCCUGGGGAGUACGAUCGCAAGAUUGAAACUUAAAGGAAUUGGCGGGGGAGCACCACAAGGGGUGAAGCUUGCGGUUUAAUUGGAGUCAACGCCGGAAAUCUCACCGGGAGCGACAGCAGUAUGAAGGCCAGAUUAAAGGUCUUGCUAGACGAGCUGAGAGGAGGUGCAUGGCCGUCGCCAGUUCGUGCCGUGAGGUGUCCUGUUAAGUCAGGCAACGAUCGAGACCCGCGUCCUCUGUUGCAACUAGCCUUGUGCUGGGCACACUGAGGAGACCGCCACUGAUAAAGUGGAGGAAGGAGCGGGCCACGGCAGGUCAGUAUGCCCCGAAUCUCCCGGGCCACACGCGAGCUGCAAUGGCAGGUACAAUGGGCUCCGACCUCGAAAGGGGAAGGCAAUCUCGAAAGCCUGCCGUAGUUGGGAUCGAGGGCUGAAACCCGCCCUCGUGAACAUGGAAUCCCUAGUAAUCGCGUGUCAUUAGCGCGCGGUGAAUACGUCCCUGCUCCUUGCACACACCGCCCGUCGUUCCAUCCGAGCGACUCUUGGGUGAGGCGCCGUCUUUCGUGGCGGCGUCGAAUCUAAGUUUCGUAAGGGGGGAAAAGUCGUAACAAG
rnacentral:rRNA from 1 species